UGUUAGAUCAAGGAGGGGGAGCCUUUGUGAAUGGGAUGAGUGCACUUACAAAGGGGCCCCAGAGAGCUCUCUUGCCCUCUUUCUGCCAUGUGAGAACACCGUGAGAAGGCAGCCUACAACCUGGUAGAGGGCCCUCAUCAGAACCCAACCAUGCUGACACCCUGGUCUCGAACUUCCAGCCUACGAAAUGAGAGCUCCUCAAAGAGGGAACUGACAGCACUUUCUAAGGAAUGAAACACAAAUAUUGAAAAUCCAAGAGUGACUUCUGAACCUAUGAACAGCUCCUUCCUGUGUUCUAUUACACUGCCUUCCCCUUUUCAAGUUAAAAGAGACUGAGCAAUCACAUGCAAAGAAUUUGAUUAACAUCUACUAGAAACUCAGCCCUCUGUGAAUGCCAGAGGAAGGAGCUGGAAGGAGGAGAAGGAAAAGAGAAAAAAAGAAGAAGGAGAUGAGGGUUUCUAGAUGAAAUGGUGUGACUCUUUGAUAACUUGUUUGUGUCAUCACCUGUAAACAAGAUACUAAGGGAUUAUUCAAGAUGUCAGAACCAGCCACAUCCAAGGCAGGUUUAAGGACUAUAGGACAAAACACUGCCCCUAAACUCUGCCCCUCCUCUGGCUGCUGUUGGAAAUCCUGCCAUCAGCUUCAAAUUAGCUUUAUCUCAAGGGAUUGAGGUCCUGACACCAAAGCCCUCCCUGGUGACUAGGAUUUUGCUAUCAGUAGAUGAUCACUCCAGAGGAGAAGUCUG
rnacentral:lncRNA from 1 species